AGUCUGUGCUGGAGGGAAGAUGGACUUUCCUACUGGCACGAAAGAUGUGUUCUAGGAAUAUGGUCACUCUCCAUUUGACUGUCUCUGGCUACAGAGUCAAAAUCAUUUGAGUAACGAGGUCAGCUCAGCUUACGUCUUGCGCAUACUUCCUGUCUUUACAGUUGAGAUGCAAAAUACUAAACAUCUUUUUCGCUUUCAUGAAAAAAAGCAAGUCAUGAACUGAAGUUCAGACACCUUUCUAUAUCCUAAAGCCUAUGCAGCAUAUUUUGUUUAGACCAGUAGUUAGUGUUGAAUAGACAGGCGAAAAGUCCCUGUGCACAGAGGGUAAACCUGAUGUGAGGUCUGGUUGAGGGGUGGGUGGACGGGGGAGGCAGGGAGGGAUACUGUGUACACACUGUACAGAGCUGGUUUCUGGAAUUCUCAUUGUUUGGUACUCCCUGUGGGAGAUAUUAUUAAUUGCCUAUUAGUACAGAUAAUUUUUUCCUUUCUUCUUGCUAACAGAACCCCAGGCGAUAAAUUACAAUUAGUUGAAGCCAAUUAUGAUCAUUCUAGUACCCUUUUCCAGCUUCCCCCACUGCCAGCGAUGGCCAUGGGACCCAGUGUUGGCCAAUGAGAUAUGAGGGGAAAUCUGACAGAAGAGUUUCUGGGAAAAGGUCUGCUUCCCUGAUAAAAAGUGGACAGACGGGGCUGAUGCCAUCCCUCCAUCUUUCUUCAUGACUUAGAUGAAAACAUGGAGCCUAAAGCAGGAGCAGCCUUCUUGGCCUCUGGAGUGGCAGGCAUGAGGAGAAGGCCCAGAGCACUGUGCAGACAGCGGACCUGACCUUGUCAAGGCAGCUACCUGCCUCCUGCUGUUCUUCGUAUGAGAAAUGUAAACCCCUGUGGGCUCAUUUGGUACGUUUAUGUGAAUUUAAAAAAGAUGUCCAUUAUUGGUUGAUAUUAUAGAAUUAACAUUAAUUUCCUUAGAGGUGAUAAUGGUAUUGUAGUUCUACAGGUGAUAUUUCUAUUCUUAGGAGAUGCGCAUUCAAGUAUUUGGGGUAAAGUGCCAUAAUGUCUGCAACUUCCUUUCAACUGGUUCAGG